AUUGAACGCUGGCGGCAUGCCUUACACAUGCAAGUCGAACGGUAACAGGUCUUCGGAUGCUGACGAGUGGCGAACGGGUGAGUAAUACAUCGGAACGUGCCCGAUCGUGGGGGAUAACGAAGCGAAAGCUUUGCUAAUACCGCAUAAGAUCUACGGAUGAAAGCAGGGGAACGCAAGGCCUUGCGCGAACGGAGCGGACGAUGGCAGAUUAGGUAGUUGGUGGGAUAAAAGCUUACCAAGCCGACGAUCUGUAGCUGGUCUGAGAGGACGACCAGCCACACUGGGACUGAGACACGGCCCAGACUCCUACGGGAGGCAGCAGUGGGGAAUUUUGGACAAUGGGCGAAAGCCUGAUCCAGCCAUGCCGCGUGCAGGAUGAAGGCCUUCGGGUUGUAAACUGCUUUUGUACGGAACGAAAAGACUCUUUCUAAUAAAGAGGGUCCAUGACGGUACCGUAAGAAUAAGCACCGGCUAACUACGUGCCAGCAGCCGCCGUAAGAC
rnacentral:rRNA from 1 species